AUAUAUUUAGUAAAAGAUUUACGUCGGGUUUAGGACCCGGAGAUGCACAAUAUAUU
rnacentral:tRNA from 1 species